UACGUAGGGUGCGAGCGUUGUCCGGAAUUAUUGGGCGUAAAGGGCUCGUAGGCGGUUUGUUACGUCGGGAGUGAAAACCCAGGGCUCAACCCUGGGCCUGCUUCCGAUACGGGCAGACUAGAGGUAUGCAGGGGAGAAUGGAAUUCCUGGUGUAGCGGUGAAAUGCGCAGAUAUCAGGAGGAACACCAAUGGCGAAGGCAGCUCGCUGGGACGGUACUGACGCUGAGACGCGAAAGCGUGGGGAGCAAACAGG
rnacentral:rRNA from 1 species